GCCUGGGUGGCUCAGUCGGUUGAGCGUCCGACUUCGGCUCAGGUCAUGAUCUCACAGUCUGUGAGUUCGAGCCCCGCAUCAGGCU
rnacentral:tRNA from 1 species